rnacentral:rRNA from 1 species
AUUGAACGCUGGCGGCAGGCCUAACACAUGCAAGUCGAACGAGUGGCGGACGGGUGAGUAAUGUCUGGGAAACUGCCUGAUGGAGGGGGAUAACUACUGGAAACGGUAGCUAAUACCGCAUACCAUCGGAUGUGCCCAGAUGGGAUUAGCUAGUAGGUGGGGUAACGGCUCACCUAGGCGACGAUCCCUAGCUGGUCUGAGGGGAUGACCAGCCACACGGGAACAGAGACACGGUCCAGACUCAUGCGGGGGGCAGCAGUGGGGAAUAUUGCACAAGGGGCGAAAGCCAGAUGCAGCCAUGGCGCGUGUAUGAAGAAGGCCUUGGGGUUGUAAAGUACUUUCAGGGGGGAGGCGUUACCCGCAGAAGAAGCACCGGCUAACUCCGUGACAGCAGCCGCGGUUUC